UCAUGGUUUUUCUGACCCCAAAAAUCGUAUUGUUAAUUAUGUGGGAAGCAAAAUCACGAGGAAAGAAUAGUAUUUCUAGAGAACGUGUGUUCAAUCAGAGAGAGGGAGAGAGAGAUGAAAAGGGGGGGAAAAAGUGGGGAGGAGCCAGCAGAAAAGCAAGGGGAGAAUUUGGGGGAAAAGUUGAGGAGAGGGGUAUUAUUGGUGGGGAAAAAAGGAGGGGGGCAACACACUCCAGUAUUACCCCCGUGGAGGCUACUUCCAGCCGCUGGCAGCAACGGUCCUUGUUCUUCCAACACUGAUGCACAAGAUAGCACCUUUAUAAUCACUAACAAGUUGCCUCCAUCUCUGGUUUCUGCAAGAGAACUUGCUGCCACUCUCUGGGAACUCCAUCAGUACCGCCUUCCCUUCUCCAAAAUGCACCGUGGCGUCCCCGGUCCCCCGCCGCGUCUCCGCCGCCUCAAUCACCACCAUCACCACCACCACCACCACAACAAGGACAAGGGACUUGAGCAACCUGAUCCCUCCCCCAGCUCGCCUGACCUGCCAGGGAGUGCAAGCGGUCUGAGGAGGCAUGUUGCUGCAUCACUGAUGCAACAUUACCGAUUAGUCGAAAGGAACAAUCAUGCUAUAGAACCUGUGUCUCCAGCAAGUUAUGGUAGUUCCAUGGAGAUGGCACCUUAUAACCCUGCGGUCACGCCUAGCAGUUCUUUGGAUUUCAAAGGAAGGAUUGGCGAGACAGGUUAUAACCUCAAAACAUCGACAGAGCUACUCAAAGUAUUGAAUCGAAUCUGGAGCCUAGAAGAACAGCACACAUCCAAUAUGGCCCUGGUGAAAGCACUGAAAAAGGAGUUGGACCAUGCUCGUGCCAAGAUCAAAGAGUUGGUCAGAUAUCAACAAGCAGACAGGCAUGAGAUAGAAGAGUUGAGGAACCAAAUUUCGGAAGAUAAACUAGUUAGGAAAGGCAAAGAGCAAGAACGGAUCAGUACCGCCAUUCAGUCUGUAAAAGAUGAACUUGAAGAUGAGAGGAAGUUAAGGAAGCGCUCAGAGAGCCUACACAGGAAGUUAGCUAAAGAGCUUCAUGAUGUGAAAACAUCACUUGCUAGUGGUAUGAAAGAGCUGGAGAGAGAUAGAAAGUUGCGGAAACUUUUGGAGGACCUUUGCGACGAGUUUGCUUGUGGAAUUAAGAAUUAUGAAAGAGAGGUGCAUGUUCUGAAGCAGAAAUCUGACAAGGAUUGGGUGGACAGAGAUGAUCGCAAUCAGUUGAUUCUCCAGAUUUCUGAAUCCUGGCUUGAUGAACGUAUGCAGAUGAAACUUGGAGAAAGUCAAAAUGGCUUAGGAGAAAAGAAGUCAAUAGUGGAUAAAUUAAGCUCUGAAAUAGAGAAUUUUCUUGAAGCCAAACGAAAAACUGCCGAUUCCCGGGGAAAUGAUAAUUUUGUUUCAAGGGGUCCCAAGAAUCGCCGGAAUUCUCUGGAGUCCAUUCCUUUGAAUACGGCUAUUAGUGCUCCUCAGCAUGUGGAUGAUGAAGAGGAUUCUGCAGGCAGUGAUUCACAUUGUUUUGAGCUAAACAAACCUUCGGGAGGCUUAAAACGAAGCGACGAUGUUGCUGACAAAGAUCAGACUUACACAGGAGUGGAGCCGAAUCAUGCCAAUAAGAAUCUUAUAUCUCCAGGAAACUUAAAAGGAUGUUAUCCUACCAGUUUGCAGACGAAGUUUGAAGAACAGAUGGCACGGGCUAUCUCGAUUAAUGAAAGCAAAACCCAGGUUGUGGAUUCUGAGAAGUGGAAAACCAGGGAAGGAAACCCAGUUGAAGCGAGCAUUUCUAGGAAAUCUGAAAUUUGUGAGGCGACAGAAGAGGGUGAAUAUGGAACCAAACGUCCAACGUCAAAUCACGUUAUUGAUGAGUUAAUAAGAAGCCAGUAUUUGUUAUCAGAGGCUGCAAAUAUGCAUUCUGAUGGCAAUUAUGCAGCAGCUGCUUCUGGUAACUCUGGAUGGAGGCGACAUGCUAGUCCAGUGAGACAAUGGGCGGCUACACUACCAUCCCAAGAUCUUGAUGUAUCUGUGUCAUCUUCAAAGUUGCCUCCGGACUUGAAGGAAAACACAUUGAAGGCAAAGCUACUAGAAGCAAGGACAAGAGGCCAACGAUCACGCUCACGUUUAAAAACGUCCAAAGUCCCAUUUUAGUGUUCUGUGCCUCAGCUUCAUUGAGUUAGUGGCGUGGCACUGGGCAGGGAUCGGAUUCUAAAGUGGAAUUUUGAUUUGUGUGAAUAUGGCCAAGGCACAGUUGGCAUGCUGUAUUAUUAGCAUCUACCUGCUGAAUUUGAAGAUGGAGAUACAUAUUUGCAUGGAAGAAUGGUGUUUCCUGGACUUCACGGACUGAGAUUCUGUUUCUUGAAGCAGUUUCAACAUUCAAAAUCCGACGAGCCCUUAUGUCAAUCAGAUUGUAACUAUGCCCAACAGAAGCUCCUGAUGAACGAAUACGCUGAAAAUGCAAGACCAUAUGUCAAAACCUCCGUCGUCUAGACCUAAUUUCAAACGCUAAUGAAAAGAACACUGGGUACUUGCUACUUACAGUUAAGGCAUCAUCCAUGUUUGUUGCUUCAAGAAGGUCUCUAGAGAUGAAGUUCCUUCCAAUUCCACCAGCCACAAUCUCAUCUUCAGAUGGAGGUACUGAAUUCAGUGUAAAUGCCUAAAGAACACCGUCUUUUGCAUUGAGGGUCAUAGACUACAGCUCAUUUGAUCAAAUGUUUUGCUAAUUUGGUUGAGUUAAACAAUUGAAUUGCAUGAAUAUUGACAUAGGGUUACCAUUGA